GAACUUCACUUUUGUUUUUAAACGUAGUAUAAUGAAAAUGUUACCUUAAUAGGGUAGCUAUGGCAAUAAACAUUAUUUGGAAUAGACGUUGUGGACCCGGGGGCGGUACCCGGCGCCUCCACCAUCAGUAAGUAUGGGGGCGAAACAGGCUCGACGCGCGCAAUAAAGAAAUGAUUUUUGCCCGGCAUGAUACCCCCGGUGGUUUACCACGCAGGGUCAUAACAACAAAUGCUAACGACAACGUUACAUUUGCUAAACUUGUAGCAAACGACAACUUCGUUUUCGAAGCUGCUAACGCUGCAUAGUUUAACGCGGUUUGGGGGGUACCGGGCAACAGAAACCCCCCGCU
rnacentral:tmRNA from 1 species